AAUAAAUCCAGGUGUGGUGGUAUGUGCCUGUAGUUCCAGUUACUCGGAGGCUGAGGAAGGGAGGGAGGGAAGGAGGGAGGGAGGAAAGGAGAAAAGGAAGGAAGGAGAAAAAACAAUUGUUUACAGUGGACUAUUUUCAGUUCAUUGCAAGUAUAAAGAAAUACAAUUUAUGUUUGUAUAUUAAUUUGUAUCCCACAACCUUGCUGAACUUGCUGAUUAGUUCUAGUGGUUUUUUAGUGCAUUCCUUAGGAUUUUCUAUGUACAAGAUCAUGUCAUCUGCAAAUGGCAAUUGUUUUACU
rnacentral:lncRNA from 1 species